rnacentral:sRNA from 1 species
CAGGCACUGAAGUACUUGAUACUAAUUGGAUAUUAUGACCACUUUUCAGCAAUUGUAUUACUGUAAUGGUGGGAUCCAUAAAGGAAAUGGUAAACCUGUCUUAUAUGGGUAGUUGUGUGAAUUGCAAAACUUAUAUCAAAUAAUUUUUUUGCCUCGUCUUUUGAACAAGUCAUGACAUCAUUCUAGUUCCUUUUUCAACUUAGUGAGAUGUCUGCUCUGUGUUAAUAUUAUAAUGUGUAUAAUCUACAACAGAAUUGUCCUCCAAAUUGCAAGUUUUCCUUUUUGAAUCUAAUAUAUCAGGCUCAUUUUUAGAUGACUUAGAUGCAUAAGGAUUUUAUCGUAGCUUGAUGUUAGCUCUCUGUAACCUUUCAGAUAUAUUAAUCAAAAAAGCCAAACUUAAUAAAGCAUCUAACUUAAAAUGGAUUGAUCUCAAAUAUUUUAUAGCCACUAUCUUUUCACAAUAGUAAAACGUAAAAGAGUUUAAGCUAUGCCAAUUUAGAGAGUGCUUAACAAUGUGUAAUUACUUUAUUUUCACUUAAUAGAUUUUUACCUGUGCCUUGUUUCAGAUCUGAAUAGGUUUCCUUUGACCUCAAAAUCACUAAUGCAGGGAAAAUUACCAUAUCAUGAGAGUAUUUUUCCUCUUUCUUUUUUUUUGCCUGAUGCUUAGAAUAAUAAAUACUCCCAAGGCUUAGGAGUAGACAUGGCCUGAGAGAAAGCCUAUUAAAUGCUAUUUUCUAAUGGUUUUAAAAAACAACUUAAACAAAUCAUGCUACUCAAACUGAUUCUCCUGCUAAAACAGAACUAGUUUUAGAGUAUAUUUUAGACAUCUUUUUUUCUCAAUUACUAGUUAAACUUGAAGUUGGGCUCUAUCUGGAUUUGCUUUAUAGAUCUGCUUCAUUUCAUGCCAGAUUUGGGCAAACCAUGAACAACCCCCAACUCCAGAAAAAAAAAAAA